rnacentral:rRNA from 1 species
ACACGGCGACGUGAUGCUAAUCCCUAAAGCCUCUCUCAGUUCGGAUUGGAGUCUGCAACCCGACUCCAUGAAGCUGGAUUCGCUAGUAAUCGCGCAUCAGCCACGGCGCGGUGAAUACGUUCCCGGGCCUUGUACACACCGCCCGUCAAGCCAUGAAAGCCGGGGGUACCUGAAGUGCGUAACCGCAAGGAGCGCCCUAGGGUAAAACUGGUGAUUGGGGCUAAGUCGUAACAAGGUACC